GGGACGGUGGCUCAGUGGUAGAGCGCCUGCCUUGCAUGCAUGAGGUCCUGGGUUCAAUUCCUCAGUACCA
rnacentral:tRNA from 1 species